CGGGGCGUAGCUCAGCCCGGUUAGAGCGCGGCGUUUGGGACGCCGAGGCCGGAGGUUCGAAUCCUCUCGCCCCGACCA
rnacentral:tRNA from 1 species